rnacentral:rRNA from 1 species
UACGUAGGGUGCGAGCGUUGUCCGGAAUUACUGGGCGUAAAGAGUGCGUAGGCGGUUCGUUAUGUCUGCUGUGAAAGCCCCGGGCUUAACCCGGGAAUGGCAGUGGAAACUGGCGGGCUUGAGUGUGGCAGAGGGGGGUGGAAUUCCGCGUGUAGCAGUGAAAUGCGUAGAGAUGCGGAGGAACACCGAUGGCGAAGGCAGCCCCCCUGGGCUAACACUGACGCUGAGGCACGAAAGCGUGGGGAGCAAACAGG